rnacentral:rRNA from 1 species
UACGUAGGGUGCGAGCGUUAAUCGGAAUUACUGGGCGUAAAGCGUGCGCAGGCGGUUCGUUAAGUCAGAUGUGAAAGCCCCGGGCUUAACCUGGGAAUGGCAUUUGAGACUGGCGAGCUGGAGUCUGGCAGAGGGGAGAUUGGAAUGCUCGGUGUAGCAGUGAAAUGCGUAGAUAUCGAGCGGAACACCAGUGGCGAAGGCGGCUUUCUGGCCUGAUUCUGACGCUGAGGAGCGAAAGCCAGGGGAGCGAACGGG